UUUUUACAAUGGAGAGUUUGAUCCUGGCUCAGGAUGAACGCUAGCGGCAGGCUUAAUACAUGCAAGUCGAGGGGUAACAGGCCGCUUCGGUGGUGCUGACGACCGGCGCACGGGUGCGUAACGCGUAUGCAACUUGCCUCUAACUGGGGAAUAGCCCCGAGAAAUCGGGAUUAAUACCUCAUAAUAUUCAUUGAUCACAUGUUCGAUGAAUUAAAGCUCCGGCGGUUAGAGAUGGGCAUGCGUGGCAUUAGCUUGUUGGUGAGGUAACGGCUCACCAAGGCAACGAUGCCUAGGGGUUCUGAGAGGAUAUCCCCCCACACUGGUACUGAGACACGGACCAGACUCCUACGGGAGGCAGCAGUAAG
rnacentral:rRNA from 1 species